rnacentral:tRNA from 2 species
GCCCUGAUAGCUCAGCGGAUUAGAGCAACCGCCUUCUAAGCGGUCGGUCGCAGGUUCGAGUCCUGCUCAGGGCG